rnacentral:rRNA from 1 species
AGAGCUUGAUCCUGGCUCAGAAUGAAGUCGAAGNGGCGUGCUUAACACAUGCAAGUCGAACGAGAAAGCCGAAAGCUUGCUUUUGGCGAGUAGAGUGGCGCACGGGUGAGUAACGCGUGGGUAAUCUGCCUUCGAACCGGGGAUAACACUUCGAAAGGGGUGCUAAUACCGGAUGACAUCCAGGUGUCUUCGGGCGCCUGGAUCAAAGAUGGCCUCUCCAUGGAAGCUGUUGUUCGAAGAUGAGCCCGCGUCCCAUUAGCUUGUUGGUGGGGUAAAGGCCCACCAAGGCGACGAUGGGUAGCUGGUCUGAGAGGAUGAUCAGCCACACUGGCACUGACACACGGGCCAGACUCCUACGGGAGGCAGCAGUGAGGAAUUUUGCGCAAUGGGGGUAACCCUGACGCAGCAACGCCGCGUGAGUGAAGAAGGCCUUCGGGUCGUAAAGCUCUGUCGAGUGGGAAGAACCCGCAUCAGGUGACAAGGCUGAUGCGCUGACGGUACCACUGGAGGAAGCACCGGCUAACUCCGUGCCAGCAGCCGCGGUAAUACGGAGGGUGCAAGCGUUAUUCGGAAUUACUGGGCGUAAAGGGCGCGCAGGCGGCCUGGUAAGUCAGUAGUGAAAGCCCGGGGCUCAACCCCGGAAGUGCUGCUGAAACUGUUGGGCUUGAGUAUGGUAGAGGGAAGCGGAAUUCCUGGUGUAGCGGUGAAAUGCGUAGAUAUCAGGAGGAACACCGGUGGCGAAGGCGGCUUCCUGGACCAAUACUGACGCUGAGGCGCGAAGGCGUGGGUAGCAAACAGGAUUAGAUACCCUGGUAGUCCACGCAGUAAACGGCGAUCACUAGGUGUUGCGGGUAUUGAUACUUGCAGUGCCGGAGCUAACGCAUUAAGUG